CGAAUAGGGUGGCAAGUGGCAUGUCCUGGACCCGAAGCGGGGUGAUCUACCCAUGGCCAGUGUGAAGCAGCUGUAAGAGGUUGUGGAGGCGCGAACCCACGUAGGUUAAAAACUGCGGGGAUGAGCUGUGGGUAGGGGUGAAAGGCCAAUCAAACUCCGUGAUAGCUGGUUCUCCCCGAAAUGCAUUUAGGUGCAGCGUCGUAUUAUAGCUUGGUGGAGGUAGAGCGACUGGUUGGUUGAGCGGGACUACAAUCUUAGCAAUGUCAGCCAAACUCCGAAUGCCACUAAUUGUGUUGUACGGCAGUGAGACUGUGGGGGAUAA
rnacentral:rRNA from 1 species